UAAAAAUUCUAUUAUUCUAGAUAACUAAUUAAGAUUAAAAGUCUAAUCACCCUAAUCAAGAUUAGUGGAUCUAAUUCAUCUAAUAGCCCUGAUUAAAUCCUACUAACAAAAAUCCUAAUUAAUUUAAUCACAUCCUAAUCUCCUAAUUAACUAGAAAAUUGAAAUUAACAAAAUACGAAUAUGAAGCGAGAACUCACGGAGUCGGAAUCCUCUCUUGGUUCUCCUUCUCGAAUUCCUCUACUUCCGUGCGUUGUUGUUCGUUGCGAAUUGGAUCGUUUCGCUCUCCGAUGCUGGAUUCUUGAUUUUUUUAUUCCUGUGAUUUCUGAUGAAUGCAGAACGUGAAGAUUGAAGAUGAAUCUCGAAGGAGAGUGAAGAUGAAGCUCGAAGAAGAGAUGAAGACGAAGCUCCAAGGAGAGUGAAGAUGAAGAAGAAGAAGAGUGAAGAUGAAGCUCGAAGAAGAGAUGAAGAUCGAAGCUCCAAGGAGGGUGAAGAAUGAGGAUUGAAGUGAAGAAUGAAAAUCUCAGAAAAAUGAUUGAAGGAUUUGGUUAUAGUUACUGCUGCUAUGUACAUGGAGUUGGAAUUGGCAUUUGGAUCAUAUUUGGUAUUGCAUGUGUGAGAUGAGACUUAUUUAAAACAUGUAAUGUGUGGUUUUUUUUGUAUUGAAUAUUAUUUAAGAAUUAUGUAUUAAAUUGUAUUAAAUGUUAUUGAAUUUAUAUUAAUUGAAAAAAUUGAAUUAAAGAAGAAUUAAUUGUGUAUCAACUUUGAAUUGAAUGGGUUAAGUUUGUAUGAAUGAAAUGUGAAUAUAUAUGGAA